UGGUGUGUAGCUCAGUGGGAGAGCACUUGCCUAGCAUGCUUAAGGCCCUAGGUUUGAUUCCCAGCACUGCAA
rnacentral:tRNA from 1 species